rnacentral:misc_RNA from 1 species
UUAAGUUCAGCGGGUAUUCCUACCUGAUCCGAGGUCAACCUUUUAAAAAUAAGAGUUUUACGGCAGGCCGCCGCCUGGACCCGGUGCGAGGUGAGUUACUACGCAAGGGGAGCCACGGCGGGACCGCCAAUGUAUUUGGGCGGCUACGGCACUAAAAGCGCUGUAGCCCGCCAACGCCAAGCGGUGCUUGAGGGUUGAAA